GUGGAUCAGGGUGUGAAUCGGGGUGUGGAUGUGAAUCAGGAUGUGGAUGUGGAUCAGGAUGUGAUUCAGGGUGUGGAUCAGGAUAUGGAGGUGGAUCAGGAAGUUGAUGUGGGUCAGAAUGUGGAUCAGGAUGUGGAUGUGGAUCAGGAUGUGGAGGUGGAUCAGGAAGUUGAUGUGGGUCAGAAUGUGGAUGUGGAUGUGGAUCAGGAUUUUGAUGUGGAACAGGAUGUGGAUCAGGGUGUGGAUGUGGAUGUGGAUCAGGAUGUGGAUCAGGAUGUGGAUCAGGAUAUGGAUCAGGAUGUGGAUCAGGAUGUUGAUGUGGAUCAGGAUCAGGAUGUGGAUCAGGAAGUUGAUGUGGAUCAGGAUGUGGAUCAGGAUGUGGAUGUGGAUCAGUAUGUGGAUGUGUAUCAGGGUGUGAAGCAGGGUGUGGAUGUGGAUCAGGAUGUGGAUCAGGAUGUGGAUGUGGAUCAGGAUGUGAAUCAGGGUGUGGAUGUGGAUCAGGAUCAGGAUGUGGAUCAGGAUGUGGAUGAGGAUCCGGAUGUGGAUCAGGGUGUGGAUGUGGAUCAGGAUGUGAAUCAGGGUGUGGAUCAGAAUCUGGAUGUGUAUCAGGGUGUGAAGCAGGGUGUGGAUCAGGAUGUGGAUCUGAAUCUGGAUGUGUAUCAGGGUGUGAAGCAGGGUGUGGAU
ensembl:lncRNA